rnacentral:rRNA from 1 species
UACGUAGGGCGCAAGCGUUGUCCGGAAUUAUUGGGCGUAAAGAGCUCGUAGGCGGUUUGUCGCGUCUGCUGUGAAAACUCGAGGCCCAACCUCGGGCUUGCAGUGGGUACGGGCAGACUAGAGUGCGGUAGGGGAGACUGGAAUUCCUGGUGUAGCGGUGGAAUGCGCAGAUAUCAGGAGGAACACCGAUGGCGAAGGCAGGUCGCUGGGCCGCAACUGACGCUGAGGAGCGAAAGCAUGGGGAGCGAACAGG